UACGGAGGAUGCAAGCGUUAUCCGGAAUGAUUGGGCGUAAAGCGUCCGCAGGUGGCUGUGUAAGUCUGCUGUUAAAGAGUCAUGCUCAACAUGAUAAGAGCAGUGGAAACUACACGGCUAGAGUGCGUUCGGGGCAGAGGGAAUUCCUGGUGUAGCGGUGAAAUGCGUAGAGAUCAGGAAGAACACCGGUGGCGAAAGCGCUCUGCUAGGCCGCAACUGACACUGAGGGACGAAAGCUAGGGGAGCGAACAGG
rnacentral:rRNA from 1 species